GUGGGGAAUUUUUCGCAAUGGGGGAAACCCUGACGAAGCAACGCCGCGUGGAGGAUGAAGGCCUUCGGGUCGUAAACUCCUGUCGACCGGGAAGAAUGCACCUGACCUAACACGUCGGCGUGUUGACUGUACCGGUGGAGGAAGCCACGGCUAACUCUGUGCCAGCAGCCGCGGUAAUACAGAGGUGGCAAGCGUUGUUCGGAAUUACUGGGCGUAAAGGGCGCGUAGGCGGCCCGCCAAGUCCCGUGUGAAAGCCCCCGGCUCAACCGGGGAACGGCGCGGGAAACUAGCAGGCUUGAGUUCGGGAGAGGGAGGCGGAAUUCCGGGUGUAGCGGUGAAAUGCGCAGAUAUCCGGAGGAACACCGGUGGCGAAGGCGGCCUCCUGGACCGACACUGACGCUGAGGCGCGAAAGCUAGGGGAGCAAACGGGAUUAGAAACCCGAGUAGUCC
rnacentral:rRNA from 1 species